UUUUUUUUUUUUUUUUUUUUUUUUUUUUUUUGUUAAGCUUUUUUUGUUCUGUUUAUUCAGAACAGCUUUGGUGCUGUGAUUUUUGAGACAGAAUGCACAGGCAUGAGAUUUCCAUCCAGGUCUGCUGAAAAUAUGGGAGUAAAAUACAAGCUGCAAUAAGAAAAUAUUUAGACAUAUAAUGUUUACAUUACUUAUUUUGCCUGCAAUGGGAAAUAAAUAUACAGAAUCUUCUGCAUCACAGUGGAUAUGACAUCACAGAAGCAGCACCAUGUAAGAAAAGAAAUCUGAGGAUGUGGUGAGGAUUAAAUAGUAGGUAGAAGGCUUUUCAGAUUAAAAUAGCUACAUCAUAGUAGAACAUUCUUAUCUUCUAGAAAUAUAAUGUCAAGUGUAUCCAAACCCUACUCAUCUUCCCUCUGAAAUCCUACACCCAUCCUGCUUCAACUAAUAGUUUUCAGACAAUUAACAGAAAUACUGAGAAUAUGGAUGCCUCUUUUUCUUUUUCAUCACCUCUUAAAAGAGGAUUUAUCUCAUUAAAGUAUCUAUUAGGAGUCACGAGCACUACGACGCUGAAGAUAAGGAAAACAGCAAUUUAUUAGAGCACGCAUUUGAUUUUAUCCGUGAAAUGCUGGGAACCUCCCAGGAGAUGGCAGCAAAUGGCACUCCGGGGGUAGGAGCCUCGGGGCGAGCCUGCGAGAUGCUCAAACCAGCGCCCGACUCCCAAUUACACGGGGCUUAUCUUCUACCCAGCACGAACUCAACUCAUUAGUUUUGUUCUUUGCCGAGCAGCAGAGAGAACAAAGCCACAUGAGACUUUCACAAUGUUGCACUCAAUCGGUGUGUAACGUUGUAAAAACAUAGUAGCACUUUAAAGUAACUUGUCAUUUUCAUAAAAUUUAUAAUUACUCGAAUCAUUUAUUUCCCUCCAUGAAUGCUAUUAAAAAUAGUUUCACGGGGAGUACAAUUUGUUAUGAAAUGAAGGUCAAUCUCAUUAGAUCAGUGUAGCAGGGAUCCUAAUAACAUCCUGGCAGAAACGAGGUAUCUCAUUACAGACGCUGUAUUUUGUUUGAAAUAUUAGGUCGUCAUUAACUGAGCACUAAAAUACACAUAACAUUGGAUGACAUAAAUUAUUCCCCUGAAAAACUGCCACACAGUUUUUACCACAGAGGUGGUAGAACAACGAUGAGGGUACAACACAAAGCUUAAUAUUUUCUAUCUUUUCUAGCUGGAUUCACCUACUUAAUAUCAGUUUGGUUUGCUGCUGCUUCUGAGUACUGAGCCACAGUUGGGUUGCUAGAAUUAUACAGAGAGCUGGUUUCAGAGUAUGACACUGCAAACUUCAAUCAGUAAGAAAGAUGUUUGAUUUUCCUUGUAACAGUUGAGUAAGCCAUCAUCUAGGAAAUGUCAAAAUUUAAAAGGAAAAAAAAAUUUUAAACGAGAGAGUCCAGAAGUAAACAUUGCUUUUAGAAAUACAAGAGGAGUUACUUUCCCUAUAAUUAUCUUUACCCAUUUGGAAAGUACCAAUUGGUUUUUCUAGGCCUUUCAUUUUACUGGAAUCACAGCUGAAGGUAUGGAUGUGUUUAAAUGCUUCUCUGGAGCUGUAUCACAACACUUGGCACCUGGCAGGACCGUGCUGAGCAUCUGCUCCAUGCCAGUCAACAGCACCCAGAAAGGUAUCGCAGAUAUCCAUGGGAGGGAGCUCAGCAAAGCCUCACACCUCCAUGGAUCAACUAAAGGCUCCUAACACACCUGUGAGGCACAGCAGCAGCCUCAGGAAGCUCAACAGUCACAGGAGCCCUGCUUUCCAGAGGCUUCACCCCUCCAUGGGUCAACUGAAGGCUCCUAACACACCUGUGAGGCACAGCAGCAGCUUCAGGAAACUGCGAGAAAAGCAGAAAAAAAGGUUAUGCUGAUUUCCUAGCACCAUGAGGUGCAUGGAAAGGGUCUCCAUCCAUGGAGUGCAUCCUGUAACAGCAACACCCUCUUUUUCAGCAGAACAGGUUUAACUAUGGGUACUCUGCAGAGGUUGUGGUUAGAAGGUGUGUACAAACACACACACUCAACCUGGAGCAGCUCACAGCAGCUACAGACGGCACUGAGACAACACUUUGGUAAUGCUGUUUUGCAGAAGCAAAGGCAGCCCUGCUGGUUUGUGACUAUAGCUUGGGUUUUUUUAAAUUCACAACUGGAAGUUGGGAUUAAAAAAAAAAAAA
ensembl:lncRNA